GAUGAACGCUAGCGGCAGGCUUAACACAUGCAAGUCGAGGGGUAGAGGAAGCUUGCUUCCUUGAGACCGGCGCACGGGUGCGUAACGCGUAUACAAUCUACCUUUUACAGAGGGAUAGCCCAGAGAAAUUUGGAUUAAUACCUCAUAGUAUUUUCGGAUCGCAUGAUUUGAUUAUUAAAGUUCCAACGGUAAAGAUGAGUAUGCGUCCAUUAGCUAGAUGGUAAGGUAACGGCUUACCAUGGCAAUGAUGGGUAGGGGUCCUGAGAGGGAGAUCCCCCACACUGGUACUGAGACACGGACCAGACUCCUACGGGAGGCAGCAGUGAGGAAUAUUGGACAAUGGGCGCAAGCCUGAUCCAGCCAUGCCGCGUGCAGGAAUAAAGGUCCUAAUGGAUUGUAAACUGCUUUUAUACAGGAAGAAACACACCCUCGUGAGGGUACUUGACGGUACUGUAUGAAUAAGGACCGGCU
rnacentral:rRNA from 1 species